rnacentral:rRNA from 1 species
CGGCGAGUGAAGCGGCAACAGCUCAAAUUUGAAAUCUGGCUCUCGGGCCCGAGUUGUAAUUUGUAGAGGAUGACUUUGAUGCGGUGCCUUCCGAGUUCCCUGGAACGGGACGCCAUAGAGGGUGAGAGCCCCGUCUGGUUGGAUGCCAAAUCUCUGUAAGUCUCCUUCGACGAGUCGAGUAGUUUGGGAAUGCUGCUCUAAAUGGGAGGUAUAUGUCUUCUAAAGCUAAAUACCGGCCAGAGACCGAUAGCGCACAAGUAGAGUGAUCGAAAGAUGAAAAGCACUUUGAAAAGAGAGUUAAAAAGUACGUGAAAUUGUUGAAAGGGAAGCGUUUAUGACCAGACUUGGGCUUGGUUAAUCAUCUGGGGUUCUCCCCAGUGCACUUUUCCAGUCCAGGCCAGCAUCAGUUUUCGCCGGGGGAUAAAGGCUUCGGGAAUGUGGCUCCCCUCGGGGAGUGUUAUAGCCCGUUGUGUAAUACCCUGGCGGGGACUGAGGUUCGCGCUUCUGCAAGGAUGCUGGCGUAAUGGUCAUCAACGACCCGUCUUGAAACACGGACCAAGGAGUCGUCUUCGUAUG